UACGUAGGGUGCAAGCGUUAAUCGGAAUUACUGGGCGUAAAGCGUACGCAGGCGGCUUUGCAAGACAGGUGUGAAAUCCCCGGGCCUAACCUGGGAACUGCAUUUGUGACUGCAUAGCUAGAGUCUGUCAGAGGGGGGUGGAAUUCCACGUGUAGCAGUGAAAUGCGUAGAGAUCGGGAGGAACAUCAGUUGCGAAGGCGGCCACCUGGACCAGCACUGACACUGAGGCACGAAAGCGUGGGGAGCAAACAGG
rnacentral:rRNA from 1 species